AGCUAAGAUGAUACAACAUAUUUGACACUUUUGAGUCCUUGUGUAAUUCCUAACAUCUGUGGAGGGUAUGUGUGAAGAAACUCUAGAGUGUCAAAUAUGUUGUAUCAUCUUAGCUUGUGGGCAAAACAUUUGUAGACAUAUAAGGUGACAUGCAUCCUUGGACCUGUAACAGGCAAGUAGGAAUUUGGAUGAACCCCUGUAAAAGAAGAUCAACCUUUUCCAGAAUGUUUGGUGGAACAGGUGUGAUCAUGUAGAGCAAACCUUUGGAAGUGUCAAUUCCUCUCACAAUUCCAAGGCCAACACACCAAGGUAAAUCUGCCAACUGUUCAGAACCAACUGCCAAACCAACAAUGCUUGCAUUCAAACUGUAGAAGAUUUCAGUGCUAAGGACCUGGCAAUGGAGAUGUCUGAUCUUGACACUUGAUAUUGGAACU
rnacentral:misc_RNA from 1 species